UGGCUCAGGAUGAACGCUGGCGGCAUGCCUAACACAUGCAAGUUGAACGAGAAGUUCCGGAACAAGUCUUCGGACAAGGGAAGGGAUGGAAAGUAGCGAACGGGUGAGUAACGCGUGGGCAACCAACCUUACACUGGGGGAUAACACAGAGAAAUUUGUGCUAAUACCGCAUAAGCGCACAGUACCGCAUGGUACAGUGUGAAAAACUCCGGUGGUGUAAGACGGGCCCGCGUCUGAUUAGUUAGUUGGUGAGGUAAAAGCUUACCAAGGCGACGAUCAGUAGCCGACCUGAGAGGGUGAUCGGCCACAUUGGGACUGAGACACGGCCCAAACUCCUACGGGAGGCAGCAGUGGGGGAUAUUGCACAAUGGAGGGAACUCUGAUGCAGCAAUGCCGCGUGAAGGAAGAAGGUUUUCGGAUUGUAAACUUCUAUCAGCAGGGAAGAAAAUGACGGUACCUGACUAAGAAGCCCCGGCUAACUAUGUGCCAGCAGCCGCGGUAAUACAUAGGGGGCAAGCGUUAUCCGGAAUGACUGGGUGUAAAGGGUGCGUAGGCGGUAAGGUAAGUCUGAUGUGAAAGACUGGGGCUCAACUCCAGGGGUGCAUUGGAAACUAUGUUACUAGAGUACAGGAGAGGAAAGCGGAAUUCCCAGUGUAGCGGUGAAAUGCGUAGAUAUUGGGAGGAACACCAGUAGCGAAGGCGGCUUUCUGGACUGCAACUGACCCUGAGCACGAAAGCGUGGUAGCAAACAGGAUUAGAAUACCC
rnacentral:rRNA from 1 species